AGGGAAUGAAUUCACUCAAAAAGUUCACUACACCGAGGUUCACUCUAUACGACGAAAAGUAAAACCCGAGGUCCCACAUCAGUCACGUAAGACAGAUGAUGGCUCUAUGGAACCAUAUGGACGCUCUAAUAUGCUGGGUGUUUCCAUCAAGUUUAGGGGAUCUCAGGCUAAAGUGGUUUGAUAAAUUGCCUACUAGAUCGAUAGAAAACUUCCAUCAGCUCACUGAUCGUUCGUGGCCCAGUUCGUGAACAACACAAAAGCGCCGAAGGGCAUUGGAUUACUCUUGACGCUGAGGAAUGGUAAGAACGAGUCAGUCAGAAACUAUAGCAAGCAUUAUUUGGAAACAUACAACGAGAUAGAAAAGUGCUCCGAGGAGUUGGCAAUGGCAAGCUACAAGCUCGAGCUGACUCUAGGAGAGAGACUCUAGGAAAACCUGAUGCUAGAUACUCCAACCGACCUCCAGAACCUCAUGUCCUGGGUCGAGAUGUUCACCCAGUUGGAGGACAACGUCAAACAAGCGAAAAAGGCUACUAGGACGAUGAACUGGAAUGACGGGCCAUUUAAGAAGUGAAAGGAGAAUACAGUCGAUUAUGAGAGCUGGGCAAAACAGGGUAUUAACGUGGUCUUCAAGGAGCCAAUCUAUAAACUCCUUGCCCGAAUCUGAGACAAGUCAUACUUUAGGAAGCCCGAACCAAUGGGAGGUGAUCCAAGAGAUGCAACCAACAUUAGAAGUGUUCCUACCAUGAUGAGAAGGGACACAAGACGGAAAACUACUGAUCUCUAAAGGCUUUCCUGGACCAACUGGUUUGAGAAGGACACUUGAAAGAGUUCAUUGACAAAGAGAAGUCUCGAGCUGAGAAAGUUGAGGUCAGACCAAAUCCCAGGUUUGAUCGAGGUGAUGACGACAAACAAGCCAAAGCCAUGGAUGAAGAUAAGGACCUACCCUCAGAGACUAUUCACAUGAUCGGGGGCUCGAAUCACCCUAAUCUCGAAAAUAGGAUCCAAGGGGAGGUCUGAAUGAUAAAACAAAUAUACGAGGUUCUCUCGGUCCAAUAACUGGCUAAGAAGCCGAGGCAAACAACAUUACAUUCACCAAGGCCAAUCUCGAGAGGGUGUAGCACCCACACCCCUGGUUAUCCAGCUCAGAAUGAACAACUACAACGUGAAAUGAAUCUUGGUGGACACAGGAAGUUCAGUUGAGGUGAUGUACUAUGACUUUUUAAAUAGCUUAAACUUAUCCAAUCAGAUUUAAAACUUGCACGAGCUCUCCUAAUUGAAUUCAACGCUUAGUCUCACUGGCCUUUGGGAACCGUAACCUUUAAAGUCCGAAUCGGUUCCCAAGAGUCAGUGACAGAGUUCGUUGUUAUCGAUAUCCCUUUACCAUAUAAUGCGAUCGUUGGCCGAGAUUGGCUACACAAGAUGAAGGGGGUAGCUUCUACAUUGCAUCAGAUCAUCAAGUUUGUCACUCCUCGAUGUGAAGAAACACUUGUUGGAGACCAGGUAGUGGCAAAAAAGUGCCACCUUUCUACGGUCACCACUAAACUAGCCAUGAAGGAAAUGCAGUUGAUCGAGGAAGAGCAAGAAAUUCUAGAUGAUGUCAGAAGGGAUCCCGAGGCCAAGGUCGUGGAAAACCUGAUACGCUAUAUGAACUGGAUGUGCUAAGCUUAGAUCGUUUCUUUCUCACGAGUGCCAAUCUAGAGGAACGAGAAGAACGGAGCUCAUCUAGUUCCUUAAAGCAAAUAUCAAGAUUUGUGCAUAGACACCCUACAAGAUGCCCGGGAUAGAUCCUGACUUUAUCAAGCAGUAGUUGAAUGUUCUAUCGGAUGCCUGAUCGAUCAAACAAAGAGGAAGGAGAUCCACAGCUGAGCAUGUGGAUGCGGUGAUCGAAGAAGUGGAUAAGAUGAAAGAGGCAAGCAUAAUAACAAAAUUUCUUUACCCGAGCUGGCUGUCCAACACGGUCAUGGUAAAGAAGAAGACAAGCAAAUGAAGGGUUUGUGUUGACUUCAUAAGUCUCAACUGAGCAUGCCCUAAAGACUGCUUCCCAUUGCCAAAGAUCGACCCAUUGGUGGAUUCUACCUCGGGACAUACCAGAAUGAGCUUCUUAUAUGCUUAUCAAGGUUACUACUAGAUUGCCAUGCACGAGUCGGAUCGAAAAAAGACUGUAUUCAUCACUCCCCGAGGUGUAUUCUGCUAUAAGUUGAUGCAAUUUGUUUGAAGAAUGCUGGUGCCACAUAUCAGAGGAUGGUUACAAAAAUAUUUAAGUCAAUCCUGAGUUAAACCAUGGAUGCUUACAUCGAUGAUAUGGUGGUCAAGAGCAAAGAAGAAUCAGAUCACAUCAGGGAUUUAACCGAGGUGCUCACGAUACUCAAAAGAUAAAAGUUAAAGCUGAACGCGACAAAGUGUGCCUUCAGAGUGAGCUCGGGAAAAUUUAUGGGCCAUUUGCUAACUAGACGAGGGAUAGAGGCAAAUCCAGAACAAUUAAUAGCAAUCAAUAACCUCGUGAGCCCAAAGUCAGCGAAGGAGGUUCAGAAACUUAUUGGGAUGGUAGCAGCAAUAAAAUACAUAAUGAAAACAAGGUGCAAUAAAAUAGAUUUUAUUCAUGUCAAAUCGUUCAAAUACAAGGCUUGAGCUCAUUUAUUACAUCAAGAACAAGACCUCAGUUCGGUCAGUACAAAAGAUCGUUAUUACAGGAUCUAUUCUACAAAGGUAACCGGGCUCCAAGGAGACAACCAAGCAAUGUAGGAAGAUCUUCAUGGAGUAUCGGCUAAAGAAUGGAUAUGUUCCGAAAUUCUCACCAUGAUCACAUCCAAUCAAUUACAAAAUUGUUUGAGCCAACUGCCCAGGAGAGUGAUCAAGCAUAUGUCCGGCAUACCGAACUCAAACUUUGCAGCAGCAGCUUUUUCAACCCCGACACAGGCAAAACCCAUGGAAGAGUUUGUCGAAUUUGAGCGAAGGAAGAUGGGUUGCUUGUUACACAGCUUUUGGGGACAAAAGCUCUACAUUAUAGUUCUUUUGGGAACAAAGGAAGAUGAAUUGGCAGAGCACACCCAGCUCUGCCACUUAAAGGGUAUUCCUUGUCCUCCAAGGGACCCUCUAUUACCUCGAGCCCAUCUCGGCAACGGAAGGCCCCAAGUGGCAAAACUCUAAGGAAAUCAAUUCUACUAAGGGACCAGUAGAUUUAGAAGAACUGGAAAUGUCUGGAUGAAGAAGGCUAGGGCAUGGACUACUCAAUUUAUAGGCGCGAUGGGAAAGCGAAACGCCCGUUAUUAAAGGGGAAUGCCAUUGGACUUCUAUUAAUGAGGAAGCCCAAUAGGAAGCCCAACCAACAAUCAGCGGCAAUAUCCGAAACGUCAAAGCUUACACCUGGACCGCGACGUUUCGCGAACAAACCGCGGUCAAACAAUCUACAAGACCUUGACACGUCGCAGCACCCACGCGAGCCACGUGUCCCAACAGGUUCGCGUACUAAUGGACUUGAAGAUAAUUUGGGGAAGAACUAGCUAAGCUUCACAUAAGCUCUGAGCCCUUCCCUAAUGAGAUUCAUCCGAAUGUACUUGAUAAAAGUAAAGGGGAGUUAGCCGAACUCACUGUGAGAUCCGAGCUCUGCCUCAUGACUUUUGAUCAAAUACACUUGGCGAUAAUCUUAGGGAAGAGUUAGCUGAGCUCGAAGAGAGCUCAGAACUCUGUCCCACAAGAAAAUGGAAACAAAACUUGCAGUCACAUCACUAACACUAGCAAGAAAUAUUGCAACAAGAUCAAAAAUUAUCAUGCGUUCAAAUGAUUUAUGACAGUAACAAUGCACGAGAUCAAGCAAGCUUUACAAAAAGCAAAAUUUUGUCCGACAGACCAAAGCAUUAUAAGUAUGAGCAAAAGAAUGGUCGAUGGUUUAGGCAAAAGUGGGGAGAAAUCCUCAAACGAGCUACUUUUCAGGAUGGUUCUCCCUCUCAUCUUCAACACCUUUAGUUCCUUCAGCCACAACGCCUCCGACCUCAGUGAGCUCAUUCCCAUGGCCUACUGCAUCCUCAUUCCCUUAGCCCGUCGUGCCAUUGCCAUUCUCUCCUUUAGCUGGUGCUAUGGCAUAAUUUUCCUUGUUGAAAUCAGGGAGAAGGAUCAGAGAAUAGGCUGCCAUAAGACAGGGAAGCUCAAUUGGUGGAGCUGGGGCAACCCAGGCGAGAUGAUCAGAUGGGAUCCCGAGCUCCUUCAGACAGGCCAGACAGCCUUCUUGGUAAAUUCCAAGGCAGAACUCGGUGAGCUGCUUCUCAUAAUUAUCCCCAGCUAGUUCGAAACCUCGAUCAAAGACCUUCCGGUACACCUACCUGCGAACUAUCUUUUUGAGCUCAGCCACCUCAUGCUCAACUUUGUUCUUAUGGCCAAGGGCAACCUCAACCGCAUUACGGGCGUCAGACAAUUCAGCCCUAGUCUGCUUUAGCUCCUUCUCAAGGCCAUGGACCUUUUGAUUGGCUUUCUUCAAAUUCGCGGAGUACUUUUUACCGGUAGACAAAAUCAACAAACUUAUAGAGUGUUGAAAGAAAACUAGAAAACAAGAAGCAGGACGAGCUAAACAACACACUUGAGCCUCUAUCAUGAUCAGCUUGCCCUCGAACUCCUCUGAGUCCUCGGCAGCUAGGUCUGUCACAUCCUACGAGAGCAUAAUUGCCUUCCCUGAGCCACAGAGGUCUCAUGAUCUUUGGAAGUGUCGGUGGACAUAACCUAUCUACCGAGUUCAACUGCCGCAAACGUUAGAGCCUAGAGCUCAGGAGUUCCAGACGUACUGCCACCACCCCUUCCACUGUUCUGACGAGAAGUCCCCUUAGUGGGUUACCUCCAUUUCCUCUUUUUAGCCUAUUGGGAAGACGAUGCAAUUGAUUGAUCACCAACCGAACUCGGGAGGGUCAGAUCUGAAUCAAUGGGCUACUUUACGGGUACAUCCUCUACAGCCUGCUUCUUCCCUAAAGCCCUUACCUUGGGGGCAUUACUUCUUCCUCUUUGCCCAAGCUAAAACCCAAAUUGCCGCCUUGAUUGAACAAAUGUUCGAACACGUGCUCGGCAGCAGUCGGUAUCUCGGGGAACUCAAGAUUAUCAACAGCCUCAGAAUCCGAGCUCGGCACAAAUAUAGGCUCGGCUACAAGAACAAGAGUCGAAGGCAUUAUGGCUAAUUUCCUCACUGUCUUCAACCUCGACAUCCUUGUCUUCACCACUACCUAAGCCCUAGCUACUGGACGAAUCUGACAAACUUGAGCCGCUAGAAUCGGUGCUUUCCUCCUUAGUGUCUUCCCUCAGCUGUUUGAGCUCAGCUGCUCGCUUGCGGAUGCACAAAGGAGGAAGACUUGGUUUUUUCCUACGAUCACCUCAAUGGCGGAUGGUGUAGCGAUAAAUUGAAUUGUAAUCGAGAAGAGCGGCAAUGUUCUGAGUGCACCUACAAUUGUUCACCCUCGGAUCGCAACCUUGCAGUGAUCAAACCUUCUCCAAUAAUAGGCAUUGAAUCCUACAAACUGAUAAACCAGAGAUCAGGUCACCACAAGUCAGAACAAAACACAAGAUAUAUAUGGAAAACCAAGGUAAAGGGAAACAAAGUGAGCCCACUCUUACCGACAGGGAUAUAACCCCUAUGUCUCCGAAUUGAAAAGUGACUGAGGUCAUCGACCUGGAACUCCUAUUCAUCGAAGACCCAAACGAAAAUGUUUAAGUACAUAUCUUUGUCGGGAAAGUCCGUGACUAUCCUUGUUUAGGUUUUCACAAACGAAGAUAAUUAUUGCCCUCUAACAUUUGGGUCUAAGCGUUCCUCCUACGAUGGACUACGUAAUACACAUGGAGUAAAUCCUCAACAAUGAAUUCCUACUCUUCUCUUCUCAUCAGAGCGUCCACCGCCAGCACGGUUCGGACAAAAUUUAUUGACACUUGCAUAAAAGUAAGAUAGGAUAAAAUAGAACCAUCUUCAGUAACUUGUUCAUGGGAAACCUGAGUCCGGCUUAUUGAAUGAACCAAGUCCGAACGGGUAUUUGGUUACCCUCCCCCUCUACAGCAGCAUCAUUUGGUCUUGGUCUCUCUAUAAUGACGUCAUCAAGAAUGCGGUGGUCAGCAUGAAACCAAGCUAAGGCCUCGUCAUCAUGAACUAGCAAUUGAGCCCAAUUCAAUGCCAUGUUCUAAAAAUAAAGACAAACAGUAAGAACAAGCUCACUUGCACAUCAUGAUGAAUGCAAGCAGCAAGGAACCGAGUUGGCCCCAAGGGGGUAAGAGGGGACGAACAUAUCCUACGAUGGUCAAAUCCCUCUGCCACUUUAGAGUGACUUCGGUAGAGGAGGGAUCAAAGGAACACACCCAUCAAAAACAAAAGCGGGUCAGGUACAAUGCAAAUGAACCUGAUUCAUAUCGAAAGGGCUUAUAGAAACCCAUCAAUGGCGGACGAGCAGCCGCAAGCCUUCUACUAACUAAAUAGCACAACAAUCGCGCAAUAGACACUACAAAUGCACUAGGAAGGUUAAAAAUCCUAGAAAAAUCAAAAACAAAAAGGAGAAAUCGACAUGCAGAAAAGAACUGACAAAAGGGAAAAACUCAAAGUUCAAAACUCACCGUGAUAACCGAAAAGAACUCCCUGGUCACAGGCAACGGAGUCAGAACGGUCGUUGAAAAAGAAUACAUAGACAGAGCAGAAAUCGACAAUACAACGGCGUCAAGUGUCUCUCUCUCCCUCCCUCCCUCUCUAGAAGCUCUCAGAAUGGCCAAGUGAACAGUGGCUUGAAAUACAAAAUGUCAUUUAUAUAGAAGGUGAAACGAUGGGCAACCCACCAAACGCGUCCUUAGGACACACCACUUCAUGGGCCGAAUAGCAAACGCACCCUUAGGGUGCAUCGUUUCGUGGGUUAACUGUCACAAUCAAAACCAAUGAAGAAUGAAUGUGUGGCAAUUCCCCCACCGCGUAACCGAGCCAAAUGAACCCUAGGGGAAAAUAGAAAGGCAUCGACAUCAGCCAAUCGAACGUCACCACAUGGUGCAUAACAAGGAAAGGUUAGCCGAGCUAACAAAAAGCUCCGAACCUUGUCCGAAGAAAUUUGUUAACUACGCUAGGCAAAAUCAAAAUGGAGGGUUAGCCAAGCUCGAAGAGAGCUUCGAACCUUAUCCCGUGAAGAUUUGCCACACUUAGCAAAAGUUCAAGACAAAGAGAGGGUUAGCCAAGCUCAAAGAGAGUUUUGAACCUUGUCCUGCGAGAUUUGCUAACUACGCUGGACAAAAUCAAAAAGGAGGGUUAGCCGAGCUCGAAGAGAGCUCCAAACCUUAUCCCGCGAAGAUUUGCCACACUUAACAAAAGUUCAAGACAAAAGGAUGGUUAGCCGAGCUUAAAGAGAGCUCCAAACCUUGUCUUGUGAGAUUUGCUAACUACGCUGGGCAAAAUCAAAAGAAAGGGUUAGCCGAGCUUGAAGAGAGCUCCAAACCUUAUCCCACGAAGAUUUGCCACACUUAGCAAAAGUUCAAAUAAAAAGGGAGGGUUAGCCAAGCUCGAAGAGAGCUCCAAACCUUGUCCCGCGAGAUUUGCUAAAAACGCUAGGCAAAAUCAAAAGAGAGGGUUAACCGAGCUCAAAGAGAGACCCGAACCUUAUUCAGCAAAGAUUUGCCACACUUAGCAAAAGUUUAAGACAAAGGGAGGGUUAGCCAUGCUCGAAGAGAGCUCCGAACUCUUUUCCGUAAAAUUCAUUUUGUUAUCCUCUAGAAAGUACACUUGGAAAAAUUUUCAUGGGACAUUUGGCCGAGCCCAUACAAUAGGAACUCUACAUUGCAACUCAUGCCAAAGUUUACCUGGGGCAUACAUAGAGGAAAGCUUAACGAUGCGAAAUAAGUCGCAAACAAAAGUUCAAACAGAAAAAGUCAUUCAUUUUAAAAAAUUGUUCAAGUACAAUAUGGAUUCGAUUAAAAGAUCGGGAACCAUUCAUUACAUAAAAUUGUCCGGGUAACCGACUACUUGAUUUACAAAACUAAGUAAGUGUGAAACCUAUUCUAAGUAGACAACCGGACCACAACAUUCUUGACAGAGAUCGGGCUGCGCUGGGAGAUCUCAGCAAAGAGUUGCCCAAAGAAUGGACAUGAAUGCCCAGGAACGGAGCCACCCAGGCUUCAUGUUGGAUCUUACAUGACUGGUAACAAGCCCACGCAACUGAGCUACAACAUUCCCAACCGAGACCGGGCUAGGCUAGAGGAGCUACAUGAGGAGUCGCCUAGAGAAUGGACAUGAAUGUCCGGGGAUGAAGCCACUUAGAGUCGAUGUGGGAUCUGACUCCGAACGCGGCAAUAUGUUCCGAAAAGGCUAAAACCUCCAGAAUCACAUGCCGGCAAGGGCGAAUGUACGAACUACUCGCUACUCGCAGCAAAUUGUCCAUCAGCUAUAAGGAAGCACGCGUGGUUCUCAGCCGAGUGGCCAUUAAAUACAAUAAAGCACUUGUUGCUCAACAUAGAUUGUCUAUCAGCUAUAAAAGAAAUUUCCAAAACUAGAGCUCGUAGAAGAGAUGCGUUCACACGGAGUUCGAGUAGCUUCCCAUUUGGGUAGUAAUCGCCCACCCAGCUCGAGGGAACGAGCUCUCUACAACUGAAGUGAAGAGCCCAUAUGAUAGUCUAAAAAGGGUUAUCAGCGAUAAAAUGGCAACAACAAUCAAAGAGAAGCUUCAUUUUCACUCUAAACAAACCUCCCCAGGCCUCGCAUUUAUAUAGAGGCAGAAGGGAGGUAAAAGGUUUGUGUGUGCACAGGAUGCAAGGAGUCCGCCAUUAUGAUGGGGGACUAGGGCCCAAUCGAGGGGGAUGAGCUGAUUGCGAUUGUGACGGAAGGCAGAAAGUCUGUCGCCCAAAGUGGCACGCGUGAAGUCCGCGUUUGGGAACACAAAGAGGCCUAGUGGAGAGUUCACGCGCCUUUAACCGCCACAGACGACAGCCAAAAAUGAGUACGUCCAGCUCACAUGACCUCGGCAAGUAUCAACCCAGCUCAUGCGAACUAAGGAACAAUUGUAAGGGGACAAAAUAUACAAGGAUAGAAGUUGGCCAUCCUAGGGUGGAGACCUCCGCCGAGCUUUCGCUGUAACGCAAGCUUGGAGGAUCUCUGCGCCGGAGCUCGGUGCAGAUACUACCACAAACGGUCACCGUCUGAGCUAAAGAUAUCGCUACUGCCGAACUGCCGCUACCUAGCAGGCUCGGAGUAUUAACUGUGCUGAAGUUUGGACGAAGGACAACAGCAAGCGGUAUUCCCAAGGGAUGUUAGAGGACAAAAGGUGUCUUACACAUCAAAGUCACUCCUGACGGCCCCCACGUCCUGGUGAAGACGUCGGUCGAAUGAUGAUGGGAUACUGGCCAAGUCGUAGGGGUAUGGCUGGGUCAGCCGCCUACUCACUGACAUAGUGGACGACGCACAUGAGUGCAUGUCGGGCUGCAGUCAGUCGGGUGACAAGACAGCUAGCACGUCAAGGCAAGCACCGAGCUGGACUAUAAAAGGAGAACUGUUGUUCUCAUAAAGGUACGCGAUUUUUGGACCCUCAGUACUUACAUAUACUUUCUCUCUCUAGAUACACCAUCUUCAGUCAUCUAACUUGAUCGUUGAAGAGCCGUUUUUCAAAAACAGCUCCGGCGGCCUGUCUCACUAUUUCUGUGCUACAGCUAGGGUGUUGCCGAGCUGCCAACCAACGUCAGCCUUUACGACCACCUCAGGACCUCCGUAGGUGUCUAUUCUCUAUUUUUCGUCCUUCAUCUCUCUCACAAGAACCCCACACAUAUAAUAGUACUUUUCUAGAUCUAAUCACUUCCACAACUUCUUCUUAUUUCAACACAAGGGUGAAUCCAUUCAAGCGUGAAACAAAAUACAACUCAUUAGACACAAUUUAGUGAUUUACUAAGCAAAUGCAAGUGAAGUUAGAUGCAUUAGAAGUUGCGAGUUAGGUGGCCGCCGUGCUGGAACUACAUCACCUAAUCGCCAAAAAGUAAAGACCCUAGAAUGCAAAGACAAAAAACUAAAACCCAGGUCUUUUGAAAAGGAUUAAAACCUAAAUCUGAUUGGAAUGUCCUUUUUAGUGCAAUUUUAGAACAUCAAAAUCCAUAUAUAAAGUAGCAGAGGUCAAUAGAUCAUUCUGCAUAAUAAUGGUUCACCAUUGCCAUUAUUGCACCAGUGGGCAUAUAUUAGCUUAAGCACACACAAAUAUCCGGGUAAGUUACAUAACUGCUGUGGAGCUACAUCACUGACCUUUAUACCAGGUGGACUCUCUAAGUUUGUAGAUUUUGGUGCCAAAGUUGUGAAAGAACACCCUCCUCCGGGUAAGUGAGGCAACCCAUUAUUUCGUUACGUCACAUUGCCCCCACGUGCUUAACUCGGAACACCACCCGCAACCAUGACCAGAAAAAGAAUCUAUGAAUUUUUUUUAAAAAAAAAAUUCACAUAGAAACAAAUAAAUAUAGAUUUGAGAAAAUUUAACACAUAAAAACAAACAAAUAUCGAUCUAAAAAAAUACCUAUCAAAUAUGUGAGUAUGAUUUCAAUUUGUCUGACUUUCCUUAAUUGUAACAAAAGUUCAUAUUUAGCCAAAAAUAUAAAAGGUAAUCUAAAAAAAUCAAGCAAAGUAAAAAACGGGCCGAGGAAGAAAAUAGUUAUAAACAAUGAAAGCAAAAUUAGAUCCAUAAAGACUAAGAAAAAAAUCAAAAAGAAUCACACAAAAAUAAACAAAAAUAGAUCUAAAAAAAUAGAAAAAAAUCAAAAAGAAUCACACAAAAAUAAACUAAAAUAGAACUAAAAAAUACCAAUGGAUAACCCAUAAUAACUUUGGACACUUUAUUUUGUUAUUUUUAGAUUUUUAAUUGGUGUAAAUUUUUUUUUAGGAUUUAGUUACUAUACACUUUUUUUUUUUAAAGUUAGCAGUUAGUAGCAUAGAGUUUGAUAGAUUUUAAACUCUUAUUUAAUUAAAAUUUAUAAUUUAAAUGAAUUAAUAUAUUUAACUAUAAAUAUUUGUUGCAUAUACGUACGCCAUAUUUUGUUGUUGUUGGAUUUUAAUUCUAAGAUAAAUUUUAAAUUUAAAUAUUCUAUUAUCUUAAUUAAAAAAAAAUACAUAUAAAGUUAAUUAAUUGUUCUAGAAUCCUUACGUUAUUUGAAGUCACAUAUAUACUAAAAUUUAAAUUUUUGCAUUUAUACGUAAUUUUUAUUAGUUAUAACUUAUAACUCUUUAUAACUUAAAAUUUCUUUAUAAAUUAAAACUUCUCUACCUAACAUAUGAUAUAGAGGGUCCCAUAGGAGAGAGAAAAAAAUGGUAAAACUAUAUAUAUAUGAAUGAAUGAUUAAAACAUAACUUUUCAAGUUUACCCUUAUAAAUAUCUGAAAAUACCCAUAUUGUCCUUGGGUUAUCUACCACCAAUAAACAUGCAAACUUCUUCUUUUUUUUUGCUAUACAAAAAAAAAAUGUAACCUCCAACAGAUUAUUUUCGCUAAACAAAAAAAUUAAUAUGCUUGGGGGAUCGAUCACCUACAAUUAUUCGUUAAACAAAAAAAUAAAAAGUAACCAAUAGGUAUAUCAAUUUGAUAUCUUAGAAUCAUAAACAAAGGAAAAAAAAAAUUCCAACAAUUUAAUAUCCAAAGACACAAAUGCAAUAACAGCAAAACUCAAAAUAAAUACAUUUAAUAAUGCUUCCAGUAAUCAUUUAACUCAGAAAAUACAAAAAAAAAAAAAAAAGCAAAGCAAAAAUAAUAAUUAAAAAAGAAUAUAUUACACUUCUAACUCAGAAAAAUACAAAAAUCCAACAAAGCAAAGCAAAGCAAAAAAUAAAAUAAGGUAUUUUAAAAAAAGUAUAGCUCAAGGGGUAACAUGGUAAAACCCAACAAAUCCCAACACAUGGGAUUCCAAAUACCAAUCGCCCAAGGUAUUUCAUAUCCGGGCAUUUGAGCGGUGGGAUUUCAACUCCCAGUCUUAAUUUUGCAAGCAAACAGAGGAUAUUGGGUUGGAUUUGGGUUAAGAAAUCAUGUUUGUAGCCGCCUAACCCCUCCCCCAAACCCAACCCAAUCACCCUACCGUCAACUUAUUUAUGAAUUUUCUUUUGCAUUACCAAUUUAUAACGUAUUCGCUCGCAUAAAAAGGUCAAAUGAAAAAACUUUAAACAUACCUAUGGGUAUUUUUGUUAUUUCAUAUAUAACGAAUCAUGUUCAUCCUGUAGAACCUCUUAACCAUCGGGUCGGGUUGCAUAUUUUUAACUCCCAAUUUAACCACGUCCCUACCUUGAAGACUGAGAUCCUACCUCAUUGAAAUCCCGAAGGGAGAGAGUGCUCAGCGGCUUCCUUCUGAAGGGAAUCCCAAUCCCAUAGUAAGUCUUCGUUUCUGAGAUUGGGACGGACUUAUUCCCUUAUAGAGCAUAUCAAUCUCGCGCAAGUCUUUCUCUUCUAACUGCAACCUGACUCUGGUCCUGGGCGUUGUGAUGGUUCGAACCUCCUCUGUAAGGGAUUCCACUGCUGUCACGACUCUGAUUGUUGACUGCGAGCUUGAGUUUGGAAAACAGUUCCUUUAGCGGGAUGGAUGCACUUUCUUCUUCUGUCCGGAAAUAGAGCAGAUGUUUAUCAACCAGGUUCUGGAUUAUGUGCCUCGAAGCACUCGACAGGUUUGUGUGCUGGGCUGCACAUCGGGCUGAUUGAUGUGAAACAAAGUGUCGGCUCUCAGAUCCAACCCCCCUAACAGAUUGAGAACGGAAGCAUGAAUUUGUCAUUCCUAUCUUUAGACUUUCAACUUAUGUUUGAGCAGGUGUUGUCCGCUUAUUCAUGGUGGAACACAAAGGGGAAGAGGAGAUAGAGAUGGUAGAGAUCCAGACGGAAAGCCUAAAUGCGGGCUGAUCGGAAGGAAAAGACCCAUUCUCCUUUCCCCCUUGUGGAUCGUCUUGCGAUCCUAUUGCCAUGGUCUCCCAAGUAAAAUCCAUGGGACAGGCAAAAGGGGCUGGCUAAGACCUAUCGAUCAAGGGGACAAAGAAUACAAGUGAAAGAAAGGGCACUUUCCUUCAUCGAAGUACCAGAUGCUUUAAGAAGGAGCAUAGAUUUGCAUCCCGAACUAUGAAAGGGAUGCUACUGGUGGGCGGUUCGAGCUGAAGCUAAAGCAGGUGUCAAUAUCAACUCUCACAUUGUAGUCUCAGUUCAACCACUCAUUCCCGUGUUGAUGCCAUGUGAAUCGCUAGAAACACGUGGAGUGUAUGGCUAACCCAAUAAAAGUUGAUUGCUUUAUCCGAGACUCCAAGGAAAGGGUAAAGGAUUAACUAGUCCCAAGGUAGCUUGUUUCAAACGCAAACUAAACUUUUGGGACGGAAUUACAAGUACAAGGACCAAAGUAGAUAAGCCAGCUUUUAGUUAAGAUACUUUGGCAAAUUUUUCGUUCCUGCCAGAAUGAAGCAAAGUUGCCUUUCGUUUUCCCUUUUACUAAAGAAAAUGGAACUGUAAACCCUAUUGAUACAUUUUUUCAAUGCUAACGGUGUACACAACAACGCAUGCUCAACACCGGAAAAGCCAUUCACACCAGAGCAAAACUUAUGGGUUUAUAUAAAAUUUUGGAUUUCAGCAAAACUGUGGACAAAACCAAAAGAAAACAGAGAAAACUACCCCCGAAAACUCCAACGAAUCCCAACCGGUGCAAGAGUUCAGUAUUCCCAUUUCUUCAAUUCCAUACCAUCUGGAGGGCUUCCUUCCACCAUCUUUGAGCCCACUUCUUUCCAGUUUGUGGAUAGCACUGUCCCGUUUGACUCAAUCUACAAGAUUACCGGACAAAAAACAAUAUUACUAGCUCUACUAAUUGAAGAUGUGAACAUCUAAGUAACACGGGAUAAUAGGGGAUAACAAGGUUACGUUUAUCAAUUUUUCCGCUAUGGCUGUAUUAGAAUCAAGGAUUUAGAGAGGAAUUUGUGGAGAGAAAAGAAACGCAAGGGAAAAAGAUUAAAUCUGAAGUUCUGAACUGUUGGAUUCAUAUUAACUUUGCUGUUUCCUUUUCCUUUUCCUUCAACAAAUGCUUAAUCCAAACACAGUCCAUAUCAUAUGGUGUGAGAAGUUGCACACCAGGCACGAACUGUUGCACAAAAAGGUUCAAAGCAUAACGUGAUUGUCAGUCUUACAAAAGAUUUUCUCAUGGCUCUUCUUGUGUCCUCAUCAGCAUCUUGAUAUAUGCCCUGGAAAAAAUUGUUCAGAGCCGCAUCUCCAUCCAACGCUUCUUCUUUCUCCUGACACAAAACCCCCUGUGAAUCACGCCCAAAAUGAAUUUAAAAUUUUCACUCUUUGAUGGAUCUAACUCAGACAACCCAACUAUAGCUCGAUGAUCAAAACAUCAGAAAACAUUAGACUGAAGUACAGGUGCACUCAACAUGCAUGAUAAAAGAAUAUGCUAGCCUUGAAGCCAAAAGGAAACAAAAUAUGAACAUGAAGCUCCUGCAUAAUUAAAGCAUGCAAAAAACAAAUAAUAAAGAAUGCCACAGAGCAAAUAAACAUCUUCCAAAAAGCAACAGGACUGAUACAACAAGUAACAGAGUUUCAAAUAGGACAGCAACCUGGGAUUUGAACGGAUAUCUAACAACAUAUAGUUGACGGGCUAAAAACACUUGGUCUUACAUCGGAUCUUUUAAACCAAAGUUAGGAGUGUCCUAGAUUCUUUUACUUUUAUUUUUUACCUUUGUGGCACUUGUCAACUAACAUGGACUCGAGUACAGGUGUCGAGUGCAAGUAUUGCGCCUAUACAUUUGAUUCAUUUAAUUCCUGUGUCAAAGACACAGGACAUGGCAAAAUAUUCAUAUUCGUAAAUAUAUUUAUUUUAUUUUCUUGGGUAAAUAGUGUUUACAAAGUGUUAUAGAGCAGUACAAUUGUGUUAAGAGUUUUAUGCAUAAUUCUAUGGUAAACUCUACAUAUGUUUCAGAGGUGAAUGUUUGGACACAUAUCUCAUACCUUACCCCCAAGUGUUAUGAGUGUCAGGUAAUUUAAACAUCUAAAAGUGUGUCCAACUUGCACUUUAUUCCCCUAAAAAAUUACUCAAUUCUC
rnacentral:lncRNA from 1 species